ACAGUACUCCCUCCGUUUCAAAAUUCUUGUCUUAGAUUUGUCUAAAUACGGAUGUAUCAAGUCACGUUUUAGUAUUAGAUACAUCCGUAUUUAGAUAAAUCUAAGGCAAAAAAUUUAAGAGGGAGGAUUAAUUA
rfam:Triticum aestivum genome assembly, contig: Triticum_aestivum_CS42_TGACv1_scaffold_393245_5AS